UGUUUCGUGGUGUAGUUGGUUAUCACGUCAGUCUAGCGCACUGAAGGUCUGCGGUUAAAGUCCGGCCGAAGCCA
rfam:Ipomoea nil DNA, scaffold: scaffold1570, cultivar: Tokyo-kokei standard.